rnacentral:rRNA from 1 species
UUAGCAUGGAAUAAUAAAAUAGGACGUGCGUUUCUAUUUUGUUGGUUUCUAGAGACGCCGCAAUGAUUAACAGGAACAGUCGGGGGCAUCAGUAUUCAGUUGUCAGAGGUGAAAUUCUUGGAUUUACUGAAGACUAACUACUGCGAAAGCAUUUGCCAAGGAUGUUUUCAUUAAUCAGUGAACGAAAGUUAGGGGAUCGAAGACGAUCAGAUACCGUCGUAGUCUUAACCGUAAACUAUGCCGACUAGGGAUCGGGCGAUGUUCUUUUUCUGACUCGCUCGGCACCUUACGAGAAAUCAAAGUUUUUGGGUUCUGGGGGGAUUAUGGUCGCAAGGCUGAAACUUAAAGAAAUUGACGGAAGGUCACCACCAGGCGUGGAGCCUGCGGCUUAAUUUGACUCAUCACGGGGAAACUCACCAGGUCCAGAUGAAAUAAGGAUUGACAGAUUGAGAGCUCUUUCUUGAUUUUUCAGGUGGUGGUGCAUGGCCGUUCUUAGUUCGUGGGGUGACUUGUCUGCUUAAUUGCGAUAACGAGCGAGACCUUACUCUGCUAAAUAGCCAGGCUAGCUUUGGCUGGUCGCCGGCUUCUUAGAGAGACUAUCAACUCAAGUUGAUGGAAGUUUGAGGCAAUUACAGGUCUGUGAUGCCCUUAGAUGUUCUGGGCCGCACGCGCGCUACACUGACAGAGCCAACGAGUUCUUCACCUUGGCCGAAAGGUCUGGGUAAUCUUGUUAAACUCUGUCGUGCUGGGGAUAGAGCAUUGCAAU